rnacentral:rRNA from 1 species
AUUGAACGCUGGCGGCAUGCCUUACACAUGCAAGUCGAGCGGCAGCGGGAAAGUAGCUUGCUACUUUUGCCGGCGAGCGGCGGACGGGUGAGUAAUGCCUGGGAAAUUGCCCAGUCGAGGGGGAUAACAGUUGGAAACGACUGCUAAUACCGCAUACGCCCUACGGGGGAAAGCAGGGGACCUUCGGGCCUUGCGCGAUUGGAUAUGCCCAGGUGGGAUUAGCUAGUUGGUGAGGUAAUGGCUCACCAAGGCGACGAUCCCUAGCUGGUCUGAGAGGAUGAGCAGCCACACUGGAACUGAGACACGGUCCAGACUCCUACGGGAGGCAGCAGUGGGGAAUAUUGCACAAUGGGGGAAACCCUGAUGCAGCCAUGCCGCGUGUGUGAAGAAGGCCUUCGGGUUGUAAAGCACUUUCAGCGAGGAGGAAAGGUUGGUGCCUAAUACGUAUCAACUGUGACGUUACUCGCAGAAGAAGCACCGGCUAACUCCGUGCCAGCAGCCGCGGUAACAC